GACAGAGGUGCCGAGCGUUAGGCGGAAUCACUGGGCUUAAAGCGUGUGUAGGCGGGCCGUUAAGUAUCUUGUGAAAUCCCCCGGCUCAACCGGGGAAUGGCUGGAUAUACUGGCGGUCUUGAGCGAUCUAGGGGCAGAUGGAACAGACGGUGGAGCGGUGAAAUGCGUAGAUAUCGUCUGGAACGCCAAAGGUGAAGACAGUCUGCUGGGGAUCUGCUGACGCUGAGACACGAAAGCCAGGGGAGCAAACGGG
rnacentral:rRNA from 1 species